CCUACGGGAGGCAGCAGUAGGGAAUAUUUCUCAAUUUUUUAAACCCUUAACCCUCCCCUCCUCUUUUCUUAUUCCUUUUUUCCUCUUUUACACUCCUUUUGUUAGAGAAGAUAAUGACGGUAUCUAACGAAUAAGCACCGGCUAACUCCGUGUCAGCAGCCGCGGUAAUACGGAGGGUGCAAGCGUUACUCGGAAUCACUGGGCGUAAAGAGCGCGUAGGCGGGAUAGCAAGUCAGAUGUGAAAUCCUAUGGCUUAACCAUAGAACUGCAUUUGAAACUGUUAUUCUAGAGUAUGGGAGAGGUAGGUGGAAUUCUUGGUGUAGGGGUAAAAUCCGUAGAGAUCAAGAGGAAUACUCAUUGCGAAGGCGACCUGCUAGAACAUAACUGACGCUGAUGCGCGAAAGCGUGGGGAGCAAACAGGAUUAGAUACCCGAGUAGUC
rnacentral:rRNA from 1 species